rnacentral:rRNA from 1 species
UACGAAGGGGGCUAGCGUUGCUCGGAAUCACUGGGCGUAAAGGGUGCGUAGGCGGGUCUUUAAGUCAGGGGUGAAAUCCUGGAGCUCAACUCCAGAACUGCCUUUGAUACUGAAGAUCUUGAGUUCGGGAGAGGUGAGUGAAACUGCGAGUGUAGAGGUGAAAAUUCGUAGAUAUUCGGAGGAACACCAGUGGCGAAGGCGGCUCACUGGUCCGGUACUGACGCUGAGGUGCGAAAGCGAUGGGGAGCAAACAGGGAUU